rnacentral:rRNA from 1 species
CAUCACCUCUAGCAUAUCAAGUAUUAGAGGCACUGCCUGCCCAGUGACUAACGUUAAACGGCCGCGGUAUCCUGACCGUGCAAAGGUAGCAUAAUCAUUUGUUCCUUAAUUAGGGACUGGAAUGAACGGCUUGACGAGGGUUUAACUGUCUCUUAUUUCUAAUCAGUGAAAUUGACCUCCCCGUGAAGAGGCGGGGAUGACAAAAUAAGACGAGAAGACCCUAUGGAGCUUUAAUUUACUAGUUUAAUUCCAACAAUAAAUAACCUAUUGGCUCAACACACAAAAAUGUAAACUAGUAAUUUCGGUUGGGGUGACCUCGGAGCAUAAAAAAACCUCCGAAUGAUUUUAACUAAGACAUACAAGUCCAAGUAACCACAUAUCUUAUUGACCCAAAACUUUUUGAUCAACGGACCAAGUUACCCUAGGGAUAACAGCGCAAUCCUAUUCAAGAGUCCAUAUCGACAAUUAGGGUUUACGACCUCGAUGUUGGAUCAGGACAUCCCAAUGGUGCAGAAGCUAUUAAUGGUUCGUUUGUUCAACGAUUAAAGUCCUACGUGAUCA